rnacentral:rRNA from 1 species
AUUACUCCUACGGGAGGCAGCAGUGGGGAAUAUUGCACAAUGGGCGCAAGCCUGAUGCAGCCAUGCCGCGUGUAUGAAGAAGGCCUUCGGGUUGUAAAGUACUUUCAGCGGGGAGGAAGGUGUUGUGGUUAAUAACCACAGCAAUUGACGUUACCCGCAGAAGAAGCACCGGCUAACUCCGUGCCAGCAGCCGCGGUAAUAAU